UGGUAGGGAUGAUUAUUGGGCUUAAAGCGUCCGUAGCCGGCUUAGCAAGCCUCCUGUCAAAUUCAGCGACUUAAUCGUUGAGCCGCGGGAGAUACUACUAGGCUAGGAGGCGGGAGAGGCCGACGGUAUUCUCGGGGUAGGGGUGAAAUCCUAUAAUCCCGGGAGGACCACCAGUGGCGAAG
rnacentral:rRNA from 1 species